rnacentral:misc_RNA from 1 species
GAUGAAGAACGUAGCGAAAUGCGAUAAGUAAUGUGAAUUGCAGAAUUCAGUGAAUCAUCGAAUCUUUGAACGCACCUUGCGCCCUUUGGCUAUUCCGAAGGGCAUGCCUGUUUGAGUAUCGUGAACACCUCAACUCUCAUGGUUUGCCAUGAUGAGCUUGGACUUUGGGGGUUUUGCUGGCCUUUGGUCGGCUCCUCUCAAACGGAUCAGCUUUCCAGUGUUUGGUGGCGUCACGGGUGUGAUAACUAUCUACGCCUGUGGUUUUCUGCCAGAUAACCUUCAGCGAUGGAGGUUCGCUGGUGCUCAUAAAUGUCUCUCUUCAGUGGAGACAGCUUUUUGGACGUUUGAUCUCAAAUCAGGUAGGACUACCCGCUGAACUUAAGCAUAUCAAUAAGCGGAGGA